rfam:Bombyx mori DNA, contig: Bm_scaf1_contig1267, strain: p50T/Dazao, build 2, whole genome shotgun sequence.
UUAGUACAAGUUUGUAUGGAAUUGGAAGAACUGCCCUUCGUUUGCCGCUAAGGGCGCUGUUCCAACUCCAUACAAAUUUGAGUUA